rnacentral:tRNA from 1 species
GUUAGGGUGGCAGAGCCAGGCUAUGCAAAAGACCUAAGCCCUUUGUACAGAAGUUCAAAUCUUCUCCUUAACC